rnacentral:hammerhead_ribozyme from 1 species
AUCCAACUGACGAGUCCCAAAUAGAACGGAACACGCGUCGUGCAU